ACCCUAAACCUAUCGCCCGUAUGUACGAUCGACGACUCCUGCCCUCGAGCGAGGUCUCCCUUCGCCGCCGCCGCUCCACCCAGAGCUGCCCUCUUCCCCGCUGGCGCCGCCCCCUUCCCUCCCACCCCGAGCCGCCGUCUUCCCCGCCCGCGCCGCUCUCUUCCCCGCCGGCGCUGCCCUCCACUCACCUUCUGUUCUUCAAGCGGGGACGCCCUAGAUCGAGUCGAGCAAGUCAGCGGGGCAGCGGCCAGAUCCGCCACGGCCACAUCUCGUCGAGACAGGCUCCACCGGGAGAGGUAGAUCGAGGCGGCGGGCACCGUGUGCGUCUUGUCUCUUGGGACGCCGCUCCGACCUGAUCCGGCCAGGAGGCAGCCUCCGUGUGCGGCAAUGAGGGCGGCGGCCGGCUGCCCGAAAGGUCGAUCUGAUUAUGCCUCGUCACACCCCUUCCCUGGGCUGCACUUUCUUUGCCUGUUAAGCAAUUGAUAUACAUAGUGGAGCAAGAAUUAACACCAUGGAAGGGGAGAAAUACAGUACAGGCACUACGUAUUUUAAAUUUUGCAUGUGGGCUCAGGCGUGGCAGCGUCAGCGGCCUCCGACGCUCCUCGGCUCAACCGCCGCCGACCUACCAUGCCCACGAUCCUCGCGAGCAGUGUCACUCCUUCCCCUCACCGUGGUGCAAUGGAUUGAUUGAUUUAUGAAUCAAUCACAGCUGCUAGAAGAAGAAAGAAUCAGGCGUGCAUCAUGGAUGAUGGAUCUUAGAGUGCGGGGUGAGAACAAAGGUGAUUUAUCGGAGUGAUAUAAGCAAACUCAGGCACGUUCCCUUUCCUCACAUUUUGAAGAUCCAAUUAGAAUGGAUCUAUUAUUAGUAGCAUCGUCAUCUUCAAAUCCAAUGUUUUUUGACACCACUCCUGUGUUUGUCUCUUCCAAACUAAUCUGGUUUUAACAGUAGAUCAUUACUAUUUUCACCGUGUGUGGCUGAGG